UCAGGAUAAACGCUGGCGGCGUGCUUAACGCAUGCAAGUCGAACGGAGUGGUUCUCCCGAGGAUUGAUAGUGCUUGCACUUGAUUGACUCAUUGAAUCACUUAGUGGCGGACGGGUGAGUAACGCGUGGGAAACCUGCCCUAUACUGGGGGAUAGCAGUUGGAAACGACUGAUAAUACCGCAUAAGCGCACAGCUUCGCAUGAAGCAGUGUGAAAAACUCCGGUGGUAUAGGAUGGUCCCGCGUCUGAUUAGCUAGUUGGUGAGGUAACGGCCACCAAGGCGACGAUCAGUAGCCGGCCUGAGAGGGUGUACGGCCACAUUGGGACUGAGACACGGCCCAAACUCCUACGGGAGGCAGCAGUGGGGAAUAUUGGACAAUGGGGGAAACCCUGAUCCAAGCGACGCCGCGUGAACGAUGAAGUAUUUCGGUAUGUAAAGUUCUAUCAGCAGGGAAGAUAAUGACGGUACCUGACUAAGAAGCACCGGCUAAAUACGUGCCAGCCGCCGC
rnacentral:rRNA from 1 species